GAGUUUGAUCCUGGCUCAGGAUGAACGCUGGCGGCGUGCCUAAUACAUGCAAGUCGAGCGAACAGAUAAGGAGCUUGCUCCUUUGACGUUAGCGGCGGACGGGUGAGUAACACGUGGGUAACCUACCUAUAAGACUGGAAUAACUCCGGGAAACCGGGGCUAAUGCCGGAUAAUAUUUAGAACCGCAUGGUUCUAAAGUGAAAGAUGGUUUUACUAUCACUUAUAGAUGGACCCGCGCCGUAUUAGCUAGUUGGUGGGGUAAUGGCUUACCAAGGCAACGAUACGUAGCCGACCUGAGAGGGUGAUCGGCCACACUGGAACUGAGACACGGUCCAGACUCCUACGGGAGGCAGCAGUAGGGAAUCUUCCGCAAUGGGCGAAAGCCUGACGGAGCAACGCCGCGUGAGUGAUGAAGGUCUUCGGAUCGUAAAACUCUGUUAUUAGGGAAGAACAAAUGUGUAAGUAACUGUGCACGUCUUGACGGUACCUAAUCAGAAAGCCACGGCUAACUACGUGCCAGC
rnacentral:rRNA from 1 species